rnacentral:rRNA from 1 species
GCGGAUGGGCUGGGCGCAGCCUGAUCCAGCAAUGCCGCGUGAGUGAAGAAGGCCUUCGGGUUGUAAAGCUCUUUCAGUUGAGAAGAAAAAAACGUGAAUAAUACUCACGUUUCAUGACGGUAUCAACAGAAGAAGCACCGGCUAACUACGUGCCAGCAGCCGCGGUAAU